GUAACUUAUAAAAUGGCGGCGUCCACAUGUAUACGUCCUUCCCGGGAUUAGCCAGGCAGCUAGAGGAUGACUUAAUAAGGAGAGUGGAGAAACUGGCCAAUUAAUGAACAUGCCCUGAUCAUUAAUCCACCACUGAAGGAAGUCAGAGCAGAAACUCAAGCAGGGACUUGAAGAAGAAACCAUGGAGGAAUACGGCUUGCUGGCUCACCUCUCUCCAUUAAGCAAUCUUUGCCAAAUUGGUCUACCCCCAGACUCAGAAGGAAGACCACUGAAGCCACCGCAGACAGCAGAACCUCAAUCAGCUUGAAAGAGAAUGGGCUCAACAAAAGAGCAAACUGUCAACAGUGAUGAUGAGGUGCAACAUUCAACUUCACAGUUCUUGGAAUCGUAAGGAAAUUUAAAAGUCAAUGUUUUUUUUAAUCCCAUUGUUCUAAGCUGUAACAAUCCUAUAAACGCUAGGAUUUCUGGUGCAGAAAACAGGUAUGCCAGAAACAGUACAGCUUAUAAUGAUUCUAUGUUUUCUAGGACUCUUCGGUAAGAUUCAGUUCUGCAGAGGCCUUCUUACUUUCUGUCCUUUCAUGAUAGCUGUAGCAAGUCACUCUGAGAGGAGACCUUAACAAAAGGCAGCAGACUAUCCUGUAUCCUCAUCCUGUAUCCUCAUAUUCACUACUGUACACUGUACUGGUUGAGUUUGAAAGUCCUUCAGCAACUGACAAGCUGCAGCAAAGCUUGUUGUUUUUUUGAGAAAUGUUUCUCUCUGUCCAGUGGUUUCAUUUCCUGAGACUCAGAUAAACGUGGAUUUUCAGUGCUUAACAUGUUCAGUGUAUGCAUUAGUACCCAUAGACUCCAGUACUAAAGACAUACCAGAUCACAUAAACUAAGACACUAUUCCACAACUUCCUUAGUGUUCUCUUCACUUGAAUGGCCUGGCUGUGGAUCAGCAGCGGGUUCUGGUGGUCCCAGACAAUGUUCUUUAUUAAAUUCACGCCUCUGCUUUUUUUCAUUUUCCUCUAGACCUGCCACUAAUUUGUAUACUAUGCUUUGUAAUUGUGGAUCCAUCCUCAAGUUUUUAUGAGGUUUGGCCUGGUGCACUAUAAGGUUGCACUUAGGACAUCUGUUGCUGUGUUCAAAAUGUUUUACGAUGCAGCUUUUACAGAAACUAUGAAGACAUUCUGUAAUGGUCGCCGCAUCUAUUAAGUAGCCUUUGCAAAUAAAACAGGAGAUGUAUGGGAUCAUCUGUGAGAGAGGAAUGAGACGCUCUUCCUGGUUGGACUCCACCCUCUCUGGGCCAGGAAGCCUGAAUCCUGAACCGCCUUGCGCUCUCCUGCUCUGGGUAGACCUGCCCUGCCUGGCAGCUAAGUUCGCAGUGGCAAUUACAGGAGAGGCUUGGAGUGGGGGUGACAAGACCUCUGUUCCCUCCACUCUGGAAACAUCCUGGCUGCCCUCUGGGCCCACUAAGUCACUUUCCAUGGCGGCUUGGGCAAAGCACAAACCUGUAGAGGGCAGACAAAUUAGGAAGCGAGAUCUUACGUAGGUGAGGCGAGGCUAGAGCGUGGGGCCAAGGAGACCUCGAAGCGAAGACCGAAGAUGGUGAGUUGAGGAGACUCGGUGAGUUGAGGAGACUCGGGGCUCUGAGCAGGAAGCCAAGCAGAACAGAACAGAAAGGUGACCGGGAGGGGGUACUGUUCAGGCCCUAAGACCAGAAAGGGCAGAGAGGAAGCAAGCAGAGUAGGGAGGAGCAAGGAGGCUAAAACACAAGCCACUAGGCAAAGGAAAGAAAAGAAACUAGAUACAAAGUAGGCGAGGCAAUGUGAGGACCCAAUGAGGAAGGUCUAUAGGGAGUCUUAGGAAACUGCUAUCUAAGCCAAUCACAAGUUGCGAUGUUCAGGGCCUUUGCCAACCUUUUCAAAAAUUUCAUGCUUCACAGUGGGGGUUAUUGGCGGGGAGGAACCGGAAGGACUAGAGGGAGCGAAAGCUGCGGUUCAGAUGGAUGGCAUGAGAGAAUAAAUAAAACUUUAAAAAAAA
rnacentral:lncRNA from 1 species